rnacentral:rRNA from 1 species
AACGCUAGCUACAGGCUUAACACAUGCAAGUCGAGGGCAGCAUGUUCUUAGCUUGCUAAGGCUGAUGGCGACCGGCGCACGGGUGAGUAACACGUAUCCAACCUGCCGUCUACUCUUGGCCAGCCUUCUGAAAGGAAGAUUAAUCCAGGAUGGCAUCAUGAGUUCACAUGUCCGCAUGAUUAAAGGUAUUUUCCGGUAGACGAUGGGGAUGCGUUCCAUUAGAUAGUAGGCGGGGUAACGGCCCACCUAGUCAACGAUGGAUAGGGGUUCUGAGAGGAAGGUCCCCCACAUUGGAACUGAGACACGGUCCAAACUCCUACGGGAGGCAGCAGUGAGGAAUAUUGGUCAAUGGGCGAUGGCCUGAACCAGCCAAGUAGCGUGAAGGAUGACUGCCCUAUGGGUUGUAAACUUCUUUUAUAAAGGAAUAAAGUCGGGUAUGCAUACCCGUUUGCAUGUACUUUAUGAAUAAGGAUCGGCUAACUCCGUGCCAGCAGCCGCGGUAAUACGGAGGAUCCGAGCGUUAUCCGGAUUUAUUGGGUUUAAAGGGAGCGUAGAUGGAUGUUUAAGUCAGUUGUGAAAGUUUGCGGCUCAACCGUAAAAUUGCAGUUGAUACUGGAUGUCUUGAGUGCAGUUGAGGCAGGCGGAAUUCGUGGUGUAGCGGUGAAAUGCUUAGAUGUCACGAAGAACUCCGAUUG